UAUUGCCUACGGGGCGCAGCAGUGGGGAAUAUUGCACAAUGGGGGAAACCCUGAUGCAGCGACGCCGCGUGAGUAAAGAAGUAAUUCGUUACGUAAAGCUCUAUCAGCAGGGAAGAAAAUGACGGUACCUGAGUAAGAAGCCCCGGCUAACUACGUGCCAGCAGCCGCGGUAAUACGUAGGGGGCAAGCGUUAUCCGGAUUUACUGGGUGUAAAGGGAGCGUAGACGGUGCGCCAAGUCUGGAGUGAAAUGCAGCAGCUUAACUGCGGAACUGCUUUGGAAACUGGAGAACUAGAGUGUGGGAGG
rnacentral:rRNA from 1 species